AGCACAUGUUUGACAAGGACAUAGUCAACAGGGGCUCAGACCUGUCAUGGAUGAUGGUCCAGGCCACUCUACCACAUAAGCCACCUGGACGAGAAGGGAAACCACGUGCUCAAAUGUGGAAGAAGCCUCCAGCGGUUUUAUUUCAUACGUGAAGUCAUCGACCUGCAGCAUGCCACGCAGACCCCCAUUGCAGGUGUCCAGCGUGCCCAUGGACCCAGGGACCCCUUCCAGAUAUAUCUUGCAAGAAGUUGCAGGGGCCAAGUUCAGAAAGGGUGUUACAAUUGAACGCUAAAGCAUAAGUAUCUAGGAAUAAACCUGACCAAAGAGGUAAAGGAUCUAUACCCUAAAAACUACGGAACACUUCUGAAAGAAAUUGAGGAAGACACAAAGAGAUGGAAAAAUAUUCCAUGCUCAUGGAUUGGAAGAAUUAAUAUUGUGAAGAUGCCAAUGCUACCCAGGGCAAUUUG